rnacentral:lncRNA from 8 species
GGACCCUCGGUAAAUCUUACGGAGAAACAGGGGACAGUAGCGGGGCUAACCUCUGCGGACAAACCGGAGGAGGACAGUGAAUGCCGAUUCGUGGGGAAGAUAACGGAUCCGGUGGCAGCGGACAGGAGGACAGUUUGGGAGGAGGGGAUCCACGCUGCUGAAGUUAGGAUCCACGCUGGCGCGCACGAGGAAAAUGUGAAAUCUGGCAUGGGUGCAACGGGAGCAGCUGGCAGCCAUCUUCCAGCUGCUGAAGGAGAACCAGGAGAUGUUUGGGGAGAUGUCAGAGGGAGACAUGGAGGAGCAACUCUACUCCAUCUAAACCCCUAGUCUACUCACAGUCGACUGUACUACGUCUAACUCUACUUUUCCCAAACUCUACUCUAUGUUAAUCCCACAUAAAACUGACAAUCAAGACCAAGGUGCAUUCACACGGUCCACUGGGUUUCAAAGGGGGUGUUGUUUCAAAGGUCCACUCUAUUUUGAGGCACAUACUCUUCUCUAAAGAUUCUGAGGUGAUAGCUAAUCAGGCUUUGGAUAGUUGGGCCUGAGUGAUUUGAUUGGUCUGGUAAAAUCUGAGGUUCUUAUACCGUAGACACCCAUGAAAGCCAACAGUUUCAGCAAGCCUCACAUCAAACACUUAUCUGGACAGAUCUUACUCCUUUCAGCUAUUCCUUGCCUUGCCUCGGCCGUAUCCUUAUCUCACCCUUUCCUAUGGAGCACCCUUUCCCUCUAGACCCCUCUGUUUGAACAAACACAUCAUUGGUGCGAACACAAACAUGUACGUUAGAUACUUCAACACGGCUUCUGCUGUUUAUUACUUUUAAAUACCAUUCAAAGCAAUAAACACUGUAUUUGAUACAAGUAAUGGCGUCAUCAUUGUGUCAAUUCUGGAUUUUGUCGUCUCCCCUGUGUGUGCACAUGUGUGGCUUGCAAUGUAAUCUGUGACUAAAUGUCUGUAAUAAUAAUAAUAAUGAAUAAUACAUUUUAUUUGUAGAGACCUUUUCAUUUACAGACAGAAAUCAAAGCUGUGGCAGAGUUGCAUACUUACUGCAUUCAUACUGCAUACUUUUUACACUAAGUUUGAAACUGGUUUUGAAGAAGCAACAGAUAAGGCGAUGACAUCAGCCAUCCAUUCCAUGAAGGAU